rnacentral:tRNA from 1 species
GAGGGUGUAGCUCAGUGGUUGAGCAUGUGCCUAGCAUACAGAGGUCCUGGGUUCAGUCCCCAGUACCACCA